GCUCAUCAAUCCGCCCAUCUGUUGAAUGUAACGAAAUUGAUAUAGCAAGCGGUAGAUGGCUUCAUCACAACAACAACGCAAUAGAUACCUGCAGCAUUUCAUUCUUGGUACAAAUGUUGGUGAAUUCCGACUUGCAAUUGUCGCAUUCGUAACAUUGAGGAGUAUACAACGGAAUGACGUGGUCGCCUUAAUGAUAUUAACAUUAUAAAUGUCGCUAGUAAUAUUAUAGAGUUAAAAGAUUAAUACCUGGAGCAACAGUUGACACUCCUGAUCCUACACUUUCGACGAUUCCAGCUCCUUCGUGCCCCAAAACACAUGGAAAUACAAGUGGCCCUGCUCCGCCUCGUAUGAAGAACAAAUCGCUGUGACAAACUCCCGAUGCAAUAAUCUUCACACGAACUUCACCAGCCUUCGGGGGCUCCACUUUAAUCGUCUCCAUUUUGAACGGUUCGCCAACUCCCCAGACAACUGCAGCACGACAUUCGAUGACCUAGGAUUGGAGCUGCCCGACCUUGGAACUGAUAAGCCCGUCUUCUUUCUCGUCUUCUCUGCGUCGUUAGUGGCCGUAAGGUAUGCGCAGCAGUCGACUCCACUGCUGUGUAAAGAUGUAAUAGUACCCAAGAAUGUCUCGCUGUUGUAACUCGAAAAUACCCCGAGGGUGAUUACUUUCUUUUGAUUUUCUCGACGAUCGUUCAGACGUUCACAGGCCAUGAAUUUUCUUCCUCCAAGUAAUAAAAAUAAUAAUAAGUUACAAUCACAUUUUUGUUUUUUUCUCAUCAGCUGUGUAUUCUUUUUCAUUAUUUAUUGAUCUUCAGCCUCAUGUAUCGUCGCCGGCGAACGACUUUUUGUUGUUAUAGACAACUACAGAGGGUUCAGAGCAAACGAUCUAAAUCAAUUCAAAAUGGAAACAAGUGAACAAAUAGGAAAAAAAAAACAUUAGGAGAUAAAA